UACGGGGGGAGCAAGCGUUGUUCGGAUUUACUGGGCGUAAAGGGCGCGUAGGCGGCCACCGCAAGUCAGUUGUGAAAGCUCUGGGCUUAACCCAGAAAGGUCAACUGAUACUGCGGGGCUAGAGUGCAGAAGGGGCAACUGGAAUUCUCGGUGUAGCGGUGAAAUGCGUAGAUAUCGAGAGGAACACCUGCGGCGAAGGCGGGUUGCUGGGCUGACACUGACGCUGAGGAGCGAAAGCGUGGGCAGCAAACAGG
rnacentral:rRNA from 1 species